rnacentral:rRNA from 1 species
AGGCGACGACGGGUAGCCGGCCUGAGAGGGCGACCGGCCACACUGGGACUGAGACACGGCCCAGACUCCUACGGGAGGCAGCAGUGGGGAAUAUUGCACAAUGGGCGAAAGCCUGAUGCAGCGACGCCGCGUGAGGGAUGACGGCCUUCGGGUUGUAAACCUCUUUCAGCAGGGAAGAAGCGAAAGUGACGGUACCUGCAGAAGAAGCGCCGGCUAACUACGUGCCAGCAGCCGCGGUAAUACGUAGGGCGCAAGCGUUGUCCGGAAUUAUUGGGCGUAAAGAGCUCGUAGGCGGCUUGUCACGUCGAUUGUGAAAGCCCGAGGCUUAACCUCGGGUCUGCAGUCGAUACGGGCUAGCUAGAGUGUGGUAGGGGAGAUCGGAAUUCCUGGUGUAGCGGUGAAAUGCGCAGAUAUCAGGAGGAACACCGGUGGCGAAGGCGGAUCUCUGGGCCAUUACUGACGCUGAGGAGCGAAAGCGUGGGGAGCGAACAGGAUUAGAUACCCUGGUAGU